rnacentral:rRNA from 1 species
AACGAACGCUGGCGGCAGGCCUAAUACAUGCAAGUCGAGCGCGCCCUUCGGGGUGAGCGGCGGACGGGUGAGUAACGCGUGGGAAUAUGCCCUUCUCUAAGGAAUAGCCUCUGGAAACGGAGAGUAAUACCUUAUACGCCCUUUGGGGGAAAGAUUUAUCGGAGAAGGAUUAGCCCGCGUUAGAUUAGGUAGUUGGUGGGGUAAUGGCCUACCAAGCCUACGAUCUAUAGCUGGUUUGAGAGGAUGAUCAGCCACACUGGGACUGAGACACGGCCCAGACUCCUACGGGAGGCAGCAGUAGGGAAUCUUAGACAAUGGGGGGAACCCUGAUCUAGCCAUGCCGCGUGUGUGAUGAAGGCCCUGGGGUCGUAAAGCACUUUCGCCAGAGAUGAUAAUGACAGUAUCUGGUAAAGAAACCCCGGCUAACUCCGUGCCAGCAGCCGCGGUAAUACGGAGGGGGUUAGCGUUGCUCGGAAUUACUGGGCGUAAAGCGCACGUAGGCGGAUUAGUAAGUUAGAGGUGAAAUCCCAGGGCUCAACCCUGGAACUGCCUUUAAUACUGCUAGUCUUGAGUUCGAGAGAGGUAAGUGGAAUUCCGAGUGUAGAGGUAAAAUUCGUA